rnacentral:rRNA from 1 species
UACGGAGGGCGCAAGCGUUGCUCGGAAUUACUGGGCGUAAAGCGCGUGCAGGCGGUCGAGUAAGUCGGUUGUGAAAUCCCCAGGCUCAACCUGGGAACUGCAUCCGAAACUGCUCGGCUAGAGUCCCGGAGAGGGAGGCGGAACUCCCAGUGUAGGGGUGAAAUCCGUAGAUAUUGGGAAGAACACCGGCGGCGAAGCGGCCUCCUGGACGGUGACUGACGCUGAGACGCGAAAGCGUGGGGAGCAAACAGG